CUGCAACGGCUUCCUGGCGCAGAUCUAACUUAAAUGGACCA
rnacentral:sRNA from 1 species